rnacentral:antisense_RNA from 1 species
CUUCAGGGAGCCCAGCCACAGGGGCCGGUCCUCCGCGCGGCCCUGUCCGUAGGUGGCGAUGA